rnacentral:lncRNA from 1 species
GACUUGAUGAAAACAAAUUUUGCAAGAUCACUCAGAGAAAUGUAAAUAUGUUUGUCGGGCAACUGCUGAAUGCUAAGUUCAUUGUAUUAUAUGAAUAUUUCUGCAGGAAACUGCUUUAUGAGAAGGACGGCAUCGUGAAAGGUUUAUUGGAACCUGUCGUGUGUGUCUUCUAUCUCGAAAGGUGGAGAUCUGGAUUGAUGGAGAAUUUCCCUCCGGCUUUAAGUUACCAGCAGGCAUAGGUCUGAGGUUAAAGUGAAUGGAUGGAAACUGUCAUCAGUCCUGGACCCAGGUUAUGGACGGGUUGCAGAGGAGAUUCCCAGGGUGCUUACCUGGAAAGAACAAAAACUCACAGGAGCUAGGCAUUGCUUGAACCGCUUUUAGGUAGUACUUCCCAUGAACUGAAAAACUGUGAAUGGCACUUAGGUCAGCUGGAAACAAAAGUCUAGAGCAGGAAUGUUAAAACAGCUGCUCUGUCACGCUGUUGAGUGUGGGUGUGUUGCUGGGAUUGACAACCCAACUGGCUGAAGUUCUGAAAAGAACAACCCUAAAUGUAGUAUUGCUUCCCAAAACUAAACAGCUCCUUUAAUUAUCCAGAAUGUAAGCCAUUGACACGUGCCCAAGGAAGUUGCUGGCUCUGAAUAAUAAUGAUGAAAGUGAACUGAAGAAUAAAGGAC